rnacentral:lncRNA from 1 species
GGAGAAUAAGAAAAUGGAGUGAUCUAAACUCCACCAUUAUUAAUAACACAGACACGGAGGUGAUGUGUUGAGUCAAAUCAAAUCUGAAGCGAAUAACACGAAACUAUAUUGGAUUCAGAGUUCAGACAAAGUGUUUGUUUCCAUCCUUCCUUCCGCGUAUCAAACGGGCAAUUUUCACAAGUCAGUCAAUUAUUUCAUACCAAAUGACUCCUUCAUAAAAUAGCCUAUAGCCAUUGACCAAUGACAUACAUAGUAGAAAUUAACAAGUUUCUUCUUCUUCUUUUAUUGAUUUUUUCGUCCAAAUAAUAUACAAUAUUCAUUCACAGGUUGGUUGGUUUGUUGGUUUUAUAUAUUAUAUAUACAUCAAUCAAUAUUGAAAUCAUAUAAUUGCUUACAAUUUUUCAGUUUCCCUGACAGCAACAUAAACAAAAGUAGAACAUANNNN